AUGACGUCAAGUCAUCAUGGCCCUUAUGUCCAGGGCGACACACGUGCUACAAUGGCCGGCACAGCGGGAAGCGAGGCAGUGAUGCCAAGCGGAUCCCUUAAAGCCGGUCUCCAAGUUCGGAUUGAAGUCUGCAACGUCGACUUCAUGAACGCUGGAAUCGCUAGUAAUCGCAGAUCAGCCAAGCUGCGGUGAAUACGUUCCCGGGCCUU
rnacentral:rRNA from 1 species